GAUGAACGCUGGCGGCGUGCCUAAUACAUGCAAGUCGAGCGGACAGACGAGGAGCUUGCUCCUCUGACGUUAGCGGCGGACGGGUGAGUAACACGUGGAUAACCUACCUAUAAGACUGGGAUAACUUCGGGAAACCGGAGCUAAUACCGGAUAAUAUAUUGAACCGCAUGGUUCAAUAGUGAAAGACGGUUUUGCUGUCACUUAUAGAUGGAUCCGCGCCGCAUUAGCUAGUUGGUAAGGUAACGGCUUACCAAGGCAACGAUGCGUAGCCGACCUGAGAGGGGGUUGGGCCCCACGGAAAUGGGAACCGGGCCCGAACCCCCAGGGGGGGAGGAGGUGGGAAUUUUCCCCAAAGGGGGAAAACCUUAAGGGGCAAAGCCGGGGGGGGGGAGGAGGGGUUUGGGAUCGAAAACCUUUUUUUUUGGGAAAAAAAAAAUGGGAAAGUAACUUUGCCCGUUUUAAGGUAACUAAAUAAAAAAGCCCCGCCAAACUCGGG
rnacentral:rRNA from 1 species